CCUGGAGGAGGUGGUGGUGGGGAAAAGGGUCUGUGCUUUCAUGGCUUUAGAAGCAGGCGACACAGGAACAACACUGAAGAGCUCAUGACGGUUCCUCCUGAGACCUGAGGGACAAAGGUCUCUCUCUCUUCAUAGACCCACAUGAUGCCUGUGGCGGCCCAGCUCAGUCCCUGGGUCUGGGGUGCCUCUGUUCUGGAGUGUGGACAGAGGCUGAAAUGGCCGCUUAACCCUCUCAAUGGCCACUCGUCAGCUGGCACUCCUUACCUCAGCUCUGACACCGGCCUUCCACAUCCACUGAAGGUUUUCCUCCCUGACUGAGGAUAAUGAUAGCAACUUCCCUGGCUUGCACCCUUCUACCACCACAAAAAAGCUAGGACUCUGUGCUACUCUUCAGAGAGCUUCCACAGAGCAACAGGAGAAUCCCCAAGCAUGGACAGAGACAAUAACAAGUACCCAGUGCUCCAGACAUAGCACUCUCCCAGUGCUGGUGUGGGUGGGGUUGCACGGGUGCAACUUGUUACUGUUCUUUAAACUGUGCACAUCCAUUUGCGUGUGUCCUUUGGCAUGUAUUUCCUAGUGAAUAAGAAAUAUCAGCUAGAGUCAAGGGCAAACUCACCUGGCAUCAGAGGGACUGGAAGUAGGUUUAUCUCCCUGGCUUGCAGACCCAAAGACUAACCCUCUCUUAUUUACUACGGAGCCGUCGACUGGUCAUACGUCCAAUAUUUCUGUAUUCUCUUCUUCAGGGCUUCAGGCCAGGACAAGAGAAAUAGAGCUCACCACUUGUGAAAUUCACUCCACUCCACAGGGAUUAGGUUAUUACAAUAAUCAGUGAUUGUAUGAAACACUGGCUCAGUGAAUUAGAGGUCCAAGGGCUGGGGCACACCGCAGGGGUAGAGUGCUUGCCAAGUGUUUGUAGGGCCCUGGGUUUGAUGCCCAUGACAGUCAAACUGCCAUGACCUGUAGCUUCAGUGGGAACAACUGAUCCCCAGAGGACAGUCCCCUGGCUAACGGGACUUCCUGCUUGAAUUGCAACACAAACAUUUGUCACUUAUGAGAUUGUGAGAAAGACAGGAUAGACAAGAUGAAAAGCAGACAAAAAAUAUAAAGAAAAACAUCUGGCCAAAGUCUCUAAAAAACUAAGUUUUCAUUUCACAACAGUAACUGGGGUGGCCACCCUGAGUCUGGGGGCUGUUGAGCAGGUGUCAGGCGACAAACACUGUGUCUGUACACACUCAGCUCUGGCUUUUCAGUGAGUGCAACGGGUUAAUUUAACUUUGUGGGUCAGAGGUCUGAUGUUUGCCUGACACAUCUGGUCACAAUAGAUCUGUAGGACGAAAGCUUGCAGAAAUUCAGCUUUCAUUAAAAAAGGAAAGGAAAGGAAAACCAUGAGCCCAGUUUAAAGCAUCUCUGAAAAUUGUUAGGUGAUGGUCACCUUUAGUCUUGAGUGGCACCGUGAAAACAAAAUCUGCCUGACUUCAGAUCACUGGUCCUGAAGCAGGAAGGCCUGCAGGGCUUGAUCUACUUCCAAAGUAGCCAAGACCUUGUUCUUUCUCAUUGUUUAGAAUGGUGUCUGUACUGGCUGGCUUUGUGUGCCAAUGUGACACAAGCUGGAGUUAUCACAGAGAAAGGAGCCUCCCUUGAGGAAAUGCUUCCAUGAGAUCCAGCUGUACGGCAUUUUCUCAAUUAGUGAUCAAGAAGGGAAAGGCCCAUUGUGGGUGGCGUCAUCCCUGGGCAAGCUAAGCAAGCCAGGGGAAGCAAUCCAGUAAGCAGCACCCCUCCAGGGCCUCUGCAUCAGCUCCUGCCUCCAGGUUCCUACCUGUGUGAGUUCCUACCUGACUUCUUUUGGUGAUGAACAGCAAUGUGGAAGUGUAAGCUGAAUAAACUCUUUCCUCCCCAACUUGCUUCUUGGUCAUGAUGUUUUGUGCAGGAAUACAAACCCUGACUAAGACAGCAUUAAUUUUUUUUUUAACUCCAUAAAAAUAGUCAAAUAAAGCAGUAGCUUGUUCUUGGAAAACAACAACAGCAACAAAGGGCCCUGAUUUCUAAAUGUAGUGCAUUCCCGUAAAGAACAGUGGAAAAGACAAAAAGGAAGGCUUGGCCACUUCAUCUGUCACAGAACAAUUCUGCUCCUGCUUGAGGCUGUGGCAAACAUAGCCUGAUUUAGUUCUUGCUCCUGACCCAGGUUCUAGCCUGUCUGCUGGGUCCACUCACACCUUCCAUAGACGGUCUUGGUGAAGGGAUUCACUUGCAUAAUUGGCUCAAGAGACAACAAUCCUGCAUCAGCCUCUCCUAGCCACUAAUCUAGCCAGCUGACUGCAAGCCUAAUUGGCAGCUUGUUGAGUAAUUUGGCUCCUAAAGUGUGGUAUUGAUGUGGGCUCAACAGCCAGUGGAAGAGCAGGCGGAGAGUUGCCUCCAUGUAAUGCAAGGUACACCUGUCUCUGCCCCUACGCAGAAGGCAGUUAUUGGUUCUCCCUAUUCCUUCCAAUCCCUUUGCUAGCCAGCCUGGGUCAGGGCUAUUAUUAUCAGCAAUGUUAAUGUGACUGUGAGUAGUAAUUAUGUUCUCAGCAUCUAUUUAGGGACAAGAGGUGAGAAUCUGACAGGCCUGACUAUUGCUUGUCAAUUGCUUCAAUUAUUUGAUCUGUAACAUUACACAUAUUUUUCAUGUAAAUAAAAUCAAUCUAAUUGUGUGUGU
rnacentral:lncRNA from 1 species